rnacentral:rRNA from 1 species
GGCGAGGGGGCUAUCUGCAGUCGAGCGGGGUUACUUAGAAGCUUGCUUCUAAGUAACCUAGCGGCGGACGGGUGAGUAACACGUAGGCAACCUGCCCUCAAGACAGGGAUAACUACCGGAAACGGUAGCUAAUACCCGAUAUAUCCUUUUCCUGCAUGGGAGAAGGAGGAAAGACGGAGCAAUCUGUCACUUGUGGAUGGGCCUGCGGCGCAUUAGCUAGUUGGUGGGGUAAAGGCCUACCAAGGCGACGAUGCGUAGCCGACCUGAGAGGGUGAUCGGCCACACUGGGACUGAGACACGGCCCAGACUCCUACGGGAGGCAGCAGUAGGGAAUCUUCCGCAAUGGGCGAAAGCCUGACGGAGCAACGCCGCGUGAGUGAUGAAGGUUUUCGGAUCGUAAAGCUCUGUUGCCAGGGAAGAACGUCUUGUAGAGUAACUGCUACAAGAGUGACGGUACCUGAGAAGAAAGCCCCGGCUAACUACGUGCCAGCAGCCGCGGUAAUACGUAGGGGGCAAGCGUUGUCCGGAAUUAUUGGGCGUAAAGCGCGCGCAGGCGGCUCUUUAAGUCUGGUGUUUAAUCCCGAGGCUCAACUUCGGGUCGCACUGGAAACUGGGGAGCUUGAGUGCAGAAGAGGAGAGUGGAAUUCCACGUGUAGCGGUGAAAUGCGUAGAGAUGUGGAGGAACACCAGUGGCGAAGGCGACUCUCUGGGCUGUAACUGACGCUGAGGCGCGAAAGCGUGGGGAGCNAACAGGAUUAGAUACCCUGGUAGUCCACGCCGUANACGAUGAAUGCUANGUGUUAGGGGUUUCGAUACCCUUGGUGCCCCAAGUUACACAUUAAGCAU